UACAGAGGUCUCAAGCGUUGUUCGGAUUCAUUGGGCGUAAAGGGGUGCGUAGGUGGCGCGCUAAGUCAGGUGUGAAAUUUCGGAGCUUAACUCCGAAACUGCAUUUGAUACUGGCGUGCUUGAGGACUGGAGAGGAGACUGGAAUUCACGGUGUAGCAGUGAAAUGCGUAGAUAUCGUGAGGAAGACCAGUGGCGAAGGCGGGUCUCUGGACAGUUCCUGACGCUGAGGCACGAAGGUCAGGGGGAGCAAACGGGG
rnacentral:rRNA from 1 species